UCAAGCGAACAAGCGCAUACGGCGGAUGCCUAGGCGGUGGGAGGCGAAGAAGGGCGUGGCAGCCUGCGAUAAACCCCGGAGAGGCGGCAAGCGGCCUGCGACCCGGGGGUGCCCGAAUGGGGAAACCCGCCCAGUUUACUGGGUAUCCCGGCCUGAAUCCAUAGGGCCGGGAGGCGAACCGGGGGAACUGAAACAUCUAAGUACCCCGAGGAAAAGAAAUCAACCGAGAUUCCCGAAGUAGCGGCGAGCGAACCGGGAGCAGCCCUUAAGCGGCGCGGGGGGUAGUGGAACGGUCUGGAAAGUCCGGCCAUAGGGGGUGAGAGUCCCGUACACGAAACCUUUCGCGGCGUGAAGACGAGUAGGGCGGGGCACGUGAAACCCUGUCCGAACAUGGGGGGACCAUCCUCCAAGGCUAAAUACUCCCCACCGACCGAUAGUGAACCAGUACCGUGAGGGAAAGGCGAAAAGAACCGCGGCGAGCGGAGUGAAAUAGAACCUGAAACCGUAUGCGUACAAGCAGUGGGAGCCCCCUUGUGGGGUGACUGCGUACCUUUUGUAUAAUGGGUCAGCGACUUACUUUCAGUGGCGAGCUUAACCGGAUAGGGGAGGCGCAGCGAAAGCGAGUCUGAACAGGGCGAUUCAGUCGCUGGGAGUAGACCCGAAACCGGGCGAUCUAUCCAUGACCAGGGUGAAGGCUAGGUAAAGCUGGCUGGAGGCCCGAACCGGGAUCUGUUGAAAAAGAUUCGGAUGAGUUGUGGAUCGGAGUGAAAGGCUAAUCAAGCCCGGAGAUAGCUGGUUCUCCCCGAAAGCUAUUUAGGUAGCGCCUCGUGUAUCACUCCCGGGGGUAGAGCACUGUUUCGGCUAGGGGGCCAUCCCGGCCUACCAAACCGAUGCAAACUCCGAAUACCGGGAAGUGCGAGCACGGGAGACACACGGCGGGUGAUAACGUCCGUCGUGAAGAGGGAAACAACCCAGACCGCCAGCUAAGGCCCCAAAAUCAUGGCUCAGUGGAAAACGAUGUGGGAAGGCCCAGACAGCCAGGAGGUUGGCUUAGAAGCAGCCAUCCUUUAAAGAAAGCGUAAUAGCUCACUGGUCGAGUCGGCCUGCGCGGAAGAUUCAACGGGGCUCAAGCCAUGUGCCGAAGCUGCGGAUUUGGCCUCAGGGCCGAGUGGUAGGGGAGCGUUCCGUAGGCCGUUGAAGGCGGGUUGUAAAGCCCGUUGGAGGCAUCGGAAGUGCGAAUGCUGACAUAAGUAACGACAAAAUGGGUGAAAAACCCAUUCGCCGAAAGCCCAAGGUUUCCUGCGCAACGCUAAUCGGCGCAGGGUCAGUCGGCGCCUAAGGCGAGGCCGAAAGGCGUAGUCGAUGGGAAACGGGUUAACAUUCCCGUACCUGCCGCAACUGCGACGGGGUGACGGAGAAGGCUAGGCGGUCCGGCGGUUGGUAGUGCCGGUCCAAGCGUGUAGGGAGGCCCCUUUGGCAAAUCCGGGGGGCCAAUCCUGAGGCGCGAGCGCGAGCCCGCGUGCGGGCGAAGCCGCCGAUGCCAUGCUUCCAAGAAAAACCUCUAAGCUUCAGGUUGCGGGAGGCCGUACCGGAAACCGACACAGGUGGGCAGGGUGAGAAUCCCCAGGCGCUUGAGAGAACCCGGGUGAAGGAACUAGGCAAAAUGAUACCGUAACUUCGGGAGAAGGUAUGCCCCCGGGGGUGGAGCCCCUAGCGGGCCGAGCCUCCGGGGGCCGCAGAGAAACGGUGGCUGCGACUGUUUAUUAAAAACACAGCACUCUGCCAACACGAAAGUGGACGUAUAGGGUGUGACGCCUGCCCGGUGCCGGAAGGUUAAUUGAUGGGGUCAGCGCGAGCGAAGCCCUUGAUCGAAGCCCCGGUAAACGGCGGCCGUAACAAUAACGGUCCUAAGGUAGCGAAAUUCCUUGUCGGGUAAGUUCCGACCUGCACGAAUGGCGUAACGAUGGCCACACUGUCUCCACCCGGGACUCAGUGAAAUUGAACUCGCUGUGAAGAUGCAGCGUACCCGCGGCUAGACGGAAAGACCCCGUGAACCUUUACUGCAGCUUUGCACUGGACUUUGAACCGGCUUGUGUAGGAUAGGCGGGAGGCGAUGAAACCCGGACGCCAGUCCGGGCGGAGCCGACCUUGAAAUACCGCCCUGGCCUGUUUGGAGUUCUAACCCAGCCCCGUGAACCCGGGGCGGGGACCGUGCAUGGUGGGCAGUUUGACUGGGGCGGUCUCCUCCCAAAGAGUAACGGAGGAGCACGAAGGUGCGUUCAGCGCGGUCGGAAAUCGCGCACAGAGUGUAAAGGCGUAAACGCGCUUGACUGCGAGGCCGACACGCCGAGCAGGUGCGAAAGCAGGUCUUAGUGAUCCGGUGGUUCCGAAUGGAAGGGCCAUCGCUCAACGGAUAAAAGGUACUCCGGGGAUAACAGGCUGAUACCGCCCAAGAGUUCAUAUCGACGGCGGUGUUUGGCACCUCGAUGUCGGCUCAUCACAUCCUGGGGCUGUAGCCGGUCCCAAGGGUAUGGCUGUUCGCCAUUUAAAGUGGUACGUGAGCUGGGUUUAGAACGUCGUGAGACAGUUCGGUCCCUAUCUGCCGCGGGCGUUGGAGGCUUGAGGGAAGCUGCCCCUAGUACGAGAGGACCGGGGUGGACGGACCGCUGGUGUUCCGGUUGUGAUGCCAAUCGCAUUGCCGGGUAGCUACGUCCGGACGGGAUAACCGCUGAAAGCAUCUAAGCGGGAAGCCCCUCCCGAGAUGAGGCCUCCCUGGGGCUUGAAGCCCCCUGAAGGGCCCUGGAAGACCACCAGGUUGAUAGGCCGGGUGUGGAAGCGCGGCGACGCGCGCAGCUAACC
rnacentral:rRNA from 1 species